rfam:Lactobacillus pobuzihii strain NBRC 103219 NODE_32, whole genome shotgun sequence.
GGCAACUUGCCCUGAAAGGGGGCGUUGUCUAUGGUACAUGAUAUUCUUUCGUUGAUUGUCGCACCUAUUAUUGUAGGUAUAGUUAUUAAACUAUUCUCUCAUUGGUUAGAUGAGAGUGACAAAGACGACGAUCACUAGCAAGUUGUCAAUCUAACCCACACGCUGAAUUCCGCGCAGCGAAAAA